CACGAACCGUACGAACGUUAUUCGGAAUUACUGGGCUUAAAGGGUUUGUAGGCGGCCUUGUAAGUCAGGUGUGAAAGCCCUCGGCUCAACCGAGGAACAGCGCUUGAUACUGCAAGGCUUGAGGGAGACAGGGGUAAGCGGAACUGAUGGUGGAGCGGUGAAAUGCGCAGAUAUCAGGAAGAACACCCGUGGCGAAGGCGGCUCUCUGGGACGGUACUGACGCUGAGACGCGAAAGCGUGGGGGAGCGAACAGG
rnacentral:rRNA from 1 species